ensembl:lncRNA
CUUCUGUCCCUCCCCUACGGCGUUCCGGGAGGGCGGGGCCAGCGCCGCGAGCUGCGGUCGUGUGGUCUCGGUUCUGGCUGCGUGUGGUCCAGGGUAUAAGGAAAGACCCUGGCUGUCUGCGGUGUGGACCCCUCACACAUUGAGCGCUGACUUUGCCAGGCGUUACAUAGAAGGAGACCAUAGCUCCGUGUGUUACUGGAUCGGGUGCUGUAGGCCCCAGAGUAAGUGGAGCCCCUUCCAGGUUCAGCCUUAAUUACCAAAAGUGGUGAUCCUGUUGCCUUUGUUUUUGUUUUUGCGUUUUUGAAGCAAGGAAGGUCUCUCUAAGUAGUUCAGGCUGGCGUUGAGCUCACUGUGUAGCCCAGGCUGGCAGUCCUCCUGCCUCAGCCUCCCAAGUGCUGGGAUUACAGGCAUGCACCACCAUCCCCGGCAAGGUUAAAUAACCUAGCCUAGUAAGACAGUUUCUUUUUUUUUUCUUCUGGUUUUUUGAGACAGGAUCUCGCUGUGUAGUUUGGGCUGGACUUGAACUCAUUAUGCAGUCUAGGCUGGCCUUGCACUUGCAGUGAUCCUCCUCCCUCAGCCUCCUAAGUGCUGGGAUUACAGGUGACUCACAGUGAUUCAGGAUCGAGAUGUCUUCUAUCUUAGGAUUCUUCUACUUUCAACAUUUUCCAAGGAUCCAAAUUCAUCUGCAUCAGAUGGAAGGGGAAAGAGUAUGAAGGAGAAUGGGAAAUGUUCAUGGGCCAGGUCUAGAUGGGGUCCCCAAGUUGUGCCCACAUUUCAUUGUCUGGAGCUCACUCAAUAUGUGCUCAUACUUCACUGCAAAGGAGGCUUACAGAUUGCUGAAUUACCUGGAAGAAGAGGAAAUGAUUUGGUAAGCAUUUUCUGCUACAGCUAUCCAUUUGGGUUUUAAAGGAGAAAAAGCUAGGAACCUGGAGGUGUAGCUUAGUGGUAGGGUGCUUGCCUGCCAUACAUGAGCCAACUAUGCACUGAAACCUCUAUAAAACUCU